rnacentral:rRNA from 1 species
UACAGGGGGGGCAAGCGUUGUUCGGAAUUACUGGGCGUAAAGGGCGCGUAGGCGGCACUGUUAGUCAGGCGUGAAAGUCCUGGGCUCAACCUGGGAACUGCGCUUGAUACGGCAGAGCUAGAGGAUGGAAGAGGCUCGCGGAAUUCCCAGUGUAGAGGUGAAAUUCGUAGAUAUUGGGAAGAACACCGGUGGCGAAGGCGGCGAGCUGGUCCAUUACUGACGCUGAGGCGCGACAGCGUGGGGAGCAAACAGG